rnacentral:rRNA from 1 species
AUUGAACGCUGGCGGCAUGCUUUACACAUGCAAGUCGAACGGCAGCGGGUCCUUCGGGAUGCCGGCGAGUGGCGAACGGGUGAGUAAUGCAUCGGAACGUACCGUGUAAUGGGGGAUAACGUAGCGAAAGUUACGCUAAUACCGCAUACGCCCUGAGGGGGAAAGCAGGGGAUCGCAAGACCUUGCGCUGAUUGAGCGGCCGAUAUCAGAUUAGCUAGUUGGUGAGGUAAAGGCUCACCAAGGCGACGAUCUGUAGCGGGUCUGAGAGGAUGAUCCGCCACACUGGAACUGAGACACGGUCCAGACUCCUACGGGAGGCAGCAGUGGGGAAUUUUGGACAAUGGGCGCAAGCCUGAUCCAGCCAUGCCGCGUGAGUGAAGAA